AUGCUUAACACAUGCAAGUCGAACGGAAACGAUGGAAGCUUGCUUCCAGGCGUCGAGUGGCGGACGGGUGAGUAAUGCUUGGGAAUCUGCCUAAUAGUGGGGGAAAACUCGGGGAAACUCGGGCUAAUACCGCAUAAUCUCUUCGGAGGAAAGGGGGCCUCUACAUGUAAGCUCUCGCUAAUAGAUGAGCCCAAGUCAGAUUAGCUUGUUGGUGAGGUAAAAGCUCACCAAGGCUACGAUCUGUAGCUGGUCUGAGAGGACGAUCAGCCACACUGGGACUGAGACACGGCCCAGACUCCUACGGGAGGCAGCAGUGGGGAAUAUUGCGCAAUGGGCGCAAGCCUGAUGCAGCAAUGCCGCGUGUGUGAAGAAGGCCUUAGGGUUGUAAAGCACUUUCAAUAGAGAAGAAAAGCUUAGAGUUAAUAACUCUAAGCAUUGACGUAACCUAUAGAAGAAGCACCGGCUAAAUCCGUGCCAGCAGCCGCGGUAAUACGGAUGGUGCGAGCGUUAAUCGGAAUUACUGGGCGUAAAGCGCGCGUAGGCUGUUUUAUAAGUCGGAUGUGAAAUCCCCGGGCUCAACCUGGGAACUGCAUCCGAAACUAUUUAACUAGAGUAUGGGAGAGGUAAGUAGAAUUUCCGGUGUAGCGGUGAAAUGCGUAGAUAUCGGAAGGAACACCAGUGG
rnacentral:rRNA from 1 species